UAGAUAGAUGCUUAAUGGUUUAAGCUUUUAAUUGUUAAUUAGAGGAUUGUAGGAUCAAAGCCUUCCUGUCUAG
rnacentral:tRNA from 1 species